CCUACGGGAGGCAGCAGUAGGGAAUCUUCCGCAAUGGACGAAAGUCUGACGGAGCAACGCCGCGUGAGCGAAGAAGGCCUUCGGGUCGUAAAGCUCUGUUGUCAGGGAAGAACAAGUAUCGGAGUAACUGCCGGUACCUUGACGGUACCUGACCAGAAAGCCACGGCUAACUACGUGCCAGCAGCCGCGGUAAUACGUAGGUGGCAAGCGUUGUCCGGAAUUAUUGGGCGUAAAGCGCGCGCAGGCGGUCCUUUAAGUCUGAUGUGAAAGCCCACGGCUCAACCGUGGAGGGUCAUUGGAAACUGGGGGACUUGAGUGCAGAAGAGGAAAGCGGAAUUCCACGUGUAGCGGUGAAAUGCGUAGAGAUGUGGAGGAACACCAGUGGCGAAGGCGGCUUUCUGGUCUGUAACUGACGCUGAGGCGCGAAAGCGUGGGGAGCAAACAGGAUUAGAUACCCUGGUAGUCCACGCCGUAAACGAUGAGUGCUAAGUGUUAGGGGGUUUCCGCCCCUUAGUGCUGCAGCUAACGCAUUAAGCACUCCGCCUGGGGAGUACGGCCGCAAGGCUGAAACUCAAAGGAAUUGACGG
rnacentral:rRNA from 1 species